ACCUACGGGAGGCAGCAGUGGGGAAUAUUGCACAAUGGGGGAAACCCUGAUGCAGCGACGCCGCGGGAGUGAAGAAGUAAUUCGUUAUGUAAAGCUCUAUCAGCAGGGAAGAAAAUGACGGUACCUGAGUAAGAAGCCCCGGCUAACUACGUGCCAGCAGCCGCGGUAAUACGUAGGGGGCAAGCGUUAUCCGGAUUUACUGGGUGUAAAGGGAGCGUAGGUGGCUGGGCAAGUCAGAUGUGAAAACCCGGGGCUCAACCCCGGGAGUGCAUUUGAAACUGUCCAGCGGGAGUGCAGGAGAGGUA
rnacentral:rRNA from 1 species